GUCUUUUUAAGACAGAACAGUAUUUUAAAUGUAUAUACCAAAGUUUGUCCAUUCAUCCAUCCACAGAGUCUUGGGUCAUUCCAGUUUUGGGCUCAUGUGAAAGUGUUACAAACAAGAGUGUACAAAUAUGUGUGUGAGUGUUGCCUUCACGUAUUUGGACAUACAGUGCACUCAGAAGAGGAAUUACUGGAUUACAUGCCAAUUCUAUGUUUAAUUUUUAAAGAAUUGCCAUGCUGUUUUCCAUAGCAACUGUACCACUGCACAUUCCUCCCAGCAGGGCAUAAGGAUUUCAGUUUCUCCACAUCUUCAGUAUUUCUACUUCCCAUUUAAAAAAAAUAGCCAUCCCAAUGGAGCCUGCAAUGUGCAGUCACCCCUGAGUGCAGCCUUUCUCCUUUAUGAUCACAGAGGAGGCCAGUUAGGGCUCAAUUCUCCUCUUGUCUCCUCUCCUCCCGUCUACCGGAAAGCAAAGACAAAAUAGUUGAGAAAUCCAUUCCGAUGCAAUUGUGCUGUUGCUGAUUAACUGGAACACCCAAGAGGCAUGGCACUGAUAAAACACCAGCUGGAGGUCAGGUCGGCAAACUGCAUCAUGGGGUGAAGGCCUCAUGAACCCUUCUGGCUUGGAGCUUGUUGUCACAGCUUAGCCUCUUGCCUGCCUCAUUUCCACCCCUGCCCUCCCCCAUGACAGCCUGGCAAUUCACAAAAGCAGGAAGAAAAGGUCUGUACUGCUGCCACAUUACCACCUUUCCUUGGGGGAAGGAAGAAGCAGGUGUGUGAAUCUCAAAGUGCUUUGAAGAGCUGCAGGUGGGCAUGGAGGAAGGAGUCUUAGAGGAGCAGCCACCGUAGGGGUUUUGUUCUGUGGAAUGAACAGUGAACCUUCCCUGGGGAAAGAGUUUUCUUUAGGGUGCUUCCAGGCUCCCUGACUUCCUAGCAGGGGUCCCUGGGCCCCAGGGUCCUGGUAUGAAGGCGGGGCACCUAAAGAUUGGCAGCUCUGCUGCUCAGGGCUUUGCUGACCUUGCUGCAGGCUUUGUCUGUGCCUGGUGCCCCAGUUCAUACUAACUGCUUCCUUGCCUUGGUGUCUGCCUGCUAAUCACAAACUGGGUACUGGCCCUGCUCAAAGCUUCCUUGCUGCCAAGGUUUAGCCCCAAGUCUUGCAAGCCAUGUUCUCUCAUUUCUUCAUUCUUGAAACUCAUUGUUGGUUCACCUACAAGAACCUCAGACUUUACAAACUGGCCUCCUCUUGCUCUCCAGGGUCUGUUGCCUGUUACAGAGCUGCUAGGUGAUGCCUGCACUCACUGGACUGUGAUCCACUGCUUGGCCCAUCCUGUGACUGAACUUCCUGAUGCUGACAGCCUGCCCUCACGUCUCCUUCCCUAGGCUGGGACCAACACUGAGCACCAGCCCCCACCCCCACCCCGCACUGGCGC